CCUACGGGUGGCAGCAGUGGGGAAUAUUGCACAAUGGGGGAAACCCUGAUGCAGCGACGCCGCGUGAGUGAAGAAGUAUCUCGGUACGUAAAGCUCUAUCAGCAGGGAAGAAAAUGACGGUACCUGACUAAGAAGCCCCUGCUAACUACGUGCCAGCAGCCGCGGUAAUACGUAGGGGGCAAGCGUUAUCCGGAUUUACUGGGUGUAAAGGGAGCGUAGACGGCAGCACAAGUCUGGAGUGAAAUCCCGGGGCUUAACCCCGGGGCUGCUUUGGAAACUGUGCGGCUGGAGUGCAGGAGGGGAAAGCGGAAUUCCUAGUGUAGCGGUGAAAUGCGUAGAUAUUAGGAGGAACACCAGUGGCGAAGGCGACUUACUGGACUGUAACUGACGUUGAGGCGCGAAAGCGUGGGGAGCAAACAGGAUUAGAUACCCGGGUAGUC
rnacentral:rRNA from 1 species